UGCAGUCGAACGGUAACAGGCCUAUGUGAUCCCUUCGGGGUGAACUUGGUGCUGACGAGUGGCGGACGGGUGAGUAAUGCAUAGGAAUCUGCCCUUUAGCGGGGGAUAACUCGGGGAAACUCGGGCUAAUACCGCAUACGCCCUACGGGGGAAAGCGGGGGCCUUCGGGCCUCGCACUAUUGGAUGAGCCUAUGUCUGAUUAGUUUGUUGGUGGGGUAAUGGCCUACCAAGGCGACGAUCAGUAGCUGGUCUGAGAGGACGAUCAGCCACACUGGGAUUGAGAUACGGCCCAGACUCCUACGGGAGGCAGCAGUGGGGAAUAUUGGACAAUGGGCGAAAGCCUGAUCCAGCAAUGCCGCGUGUGUGAAGAAGGCCCGAGGGUUGUAAAGCACUUUCAACAGUAAAGAAAAGUUCGGUGCUAAUACCACCGAACCCUGACGUUAGCUGUAGAAGAAGCACUGGCUAACUCCGUGCCAGCAGCCGCGGUAAUACGGAGGGUGCGAGCGUUAAUCGGAAUUACUGGGCGUAAAGCGUGCGUAGGUGGCUUGGUAAGUCGGAUGUGAAAGCCCCGAGCUCAACUUGGGAAUUGCAUUCGAUACUGCUAGGCUAGAGUAUGGUAGAGGGAAGUGGAAUUUCCGGUGUAGCGGUGAAAUGCGUAGAGAUCGGAAGGAACACUAGUGGCGAAGGCGGCUUCCUGGACCAAUACUGACACUGAGGUACGAAAGCGUGGGGAGCAAACAGGAUUAGAUACCCUGGUAGUCCACGCCCUAAACGAUGUCAACUAG
rnacentral:rRNA from 1 species